UGGAGAUAUCCGAAGAUCCUACUGAGCGACUAGAAGUUCGACGCUUUAAUCGUUGCUGCGAGAGCAGUCGCUCGUCUACAUUUUUAAGUGCCAAUAUAUGUUAGCAUCAAAAACCGGGAAAGGAUUGCGCCUCGUUGAAGAAAACUUUGCAUGUUCGUUCCGUCGAAGUUCGUUGAUCUGAGAUUUGACCGUUAAUCGCACCGUGGCUAUAAAGAAGGAAGGAAGGUCGAUGCGGAGGGAAGGAGAAAGAAAGCACAUCACCAGACGAGAGAGGAGACGAGAACGAAAGGGAGAAGCAGAACCACGGCGAUUCUCAGCGGCAGAUGAGUGCUUCGCGAUUCGCAGCGGAGACGGAGGCGACGGAGACGACUUUUCUUAGCCUCGACACAGUUGCGACGGACGCGCGGCGACACGCGGCGAGUCGCGCUGGAGGAGACGACGAGGAGAUGCUUCUCGACGGCGGAUCGGCGGAUCGGCGACCUAUCAACUCUCGCGCCUUCGCGGAGACGGCGAUCGGACGGCAAUUAAGUCACGUUUACGCGCCGCGCGCGGCUACGCGCGCAGCAUUCUCCGUCAAUAUUGACUCGGGAAUUGCCGCGGGAAUGACGAUGCGCCGCCGCGAAUCAGCCUCAUUGUCCACGGCGCUAUUUCACGAGGGACGCACGAGUGCGCUCGAUAUCCGCGCGCGCAUUGUGCGCGUCGAGCGCAAGGAGGAGAAGAGGAGAAGGCUAGGAGAACAGAAGACGGGCUACACGAGCGGGACCACGAGUGUGCUUGCGUGCGUGCGCGAAAGCGUGCGUGAGUGCGUGAGUGCGUGAGUGCGUGAGUGCGUGCGUGCGUACGAAGAGAAAGAACUUGGCGCAUUUAAUGGCCGUUGGGCGAAACGGUUUCGCUGAAACGUCUCCUCUCAAGGGGGAUAUACACUGCAAAUAUCCGUCGACUUCUCGAAAUAACGUCGGAUGCGAGAAAAUUCAUAGAAGACUCGCGGUGCUCGACGCGCGGCAUUUACAAGUUAAAUAGAUCUUUCCCCCGUUUUUUUCUUUUCUCCUCCCUUUCGCCCUUCCGUUUUUGCGCCCCGCGGGGGACGGAAAUACUCCCGUCGAGAGGUUUACGCGCGCACCCCCUUGACCGGUAAAUAAAUACUCUGUACGCGGGACAAUGUUCCCCUUUGAGAAUUUGAGAAUUUGCCCAACACUCGUGCGGAGCGUCGAAUCGAAACUUGCCACACGAUACACUACGCUAUUGAAGCGUGCGCGUUCGCCGCGUUACAUAGUCGCGACCGCGAUACGCUGAGAGAGACUGCGAGAUGACACACGUCGUAAAGACGAGGAGACCCGAUAAAAUCCCGUGCAAGACUAAUCAGCAAUCAGGUAUUUCAAGUGCCAACCGCUUUCAUGGAAUAAUAGAAUAAGUAAGCAAUUAAUGAGCAAUUGACAAAGCGUGUGACUGAGACUUUCUAAUGACUUGUGACAUGCUAGAGACAUUAAACAUAGAAGAAGAGGCAUAGUAGAAGAUGAAGAGAAUAGAAAAAUAUGACAGUACAAUAUGACUAUACAAAGUAAGACGGCAUAUAGAGCAAAGCAAAAUGUAGUGGUUGAUCACGGCACAGCGCUACAAAGCUUGCAUUCGCAAUGUCCGCUUAGACGUGGGUAGGCACGAAUUCGUCAGUCUCGCGUAAAACUUCUUUCUCUUCUCUUUGACUGGUCUCGUAUAAGACGAAACGACGGUGCGCGACACCCAAAAGCCAGCCUGAC